rnacentral:rRNA from 1 species
UACGGAAGGGGGCUAGCGUUGUUCGGAAUCACUGGGACGUAAGCGCACGUAGGCGGAUCUUAAGUCAAGGGGUGAAAUCCCGAGGCUCAACCUCGGAAUUGCCUUUGAUAACUGGCUAUCUUGAGUUCGGGAGAGGUGAGUGGAAUGCCGAGUGUAGAGGUGAAAUUCGUAGAUAUUCGGAAGACACCAGUGGCGAAGGCGGCUCACUGGCCCGUUACCGACGCUCCAGGCGCGACAGCGUGGGGAGCAACAGG